rnacentral:rRNA from 1 species
CGAGUGGUUAAGGGUGUAUGGUGGAUGCCUAGACAUCGGGAAACGAUGAAGGACGUGGCAAGGCUGCGAUAAGCCUCGGGGAGCCGCUAAGCAGGCGUUGAUCCGGGGAUGUCCGAAUGGGGAAACCCGCUGUGGCAAACCCACAGCGUCCGUGUGUUGGACCGCACGGGAGUUAUACCCGAAGAAGUGAAACAUCUCAGUACUCGGAGGAAAAGAAAGCAACCGCGAUUUCCUUAGUAGUGGUGAACGAAGAGGAAACAGCCCAAACCUGAACUACGGUUCAGGGGUAGGAGGAAAGAGACGUACCCUUCGAGGGUGGGUAUCACAUCGGCGUUAGUCGAAGGAGUUGGAAACCUCCGCCGUAGAACGUGACAGCCGUGUAGACGAAAGCGUGCGAUGUGAUAUCUGUCUCUUAUCCUGAGUAAGACGAGGCACGAUAACCUUGUCCGAAGCAACCGGGACUACUCCGGUAAGGCUAAAUAUUCCCCGAUGUCGAUAGUGGACCAGUACCGUGAGGGAAAGGUGAAAAGUAGCCCGGAAGGGCAGUGAAAUAGACCUGAAACCAUACACUUACGAAGAGUCGGAGUCCCUCCUUUGUUUGUCUACAGAUAUAUGCGCGUUCAGUACCACAGAAACCAAAUGUUUCUGUACUGAACAUACGCAAUAUUGGUGGUCAAACUAAGGAGGGAUGACGGCGUGCUUAUUGAAGAACGAUCCAACGAGUUAGCUCUCGUCGGCUUGCUUAAGUCCGUUUUAAACCGGACGGAGGCACAGGGCAACCGAGUCUUAACGGGCGCCAAAGGUCGACGGGACUAGACCCGAAACCGGGCGAGCUACUCAUGACCAGGGUGAACUCUGAGUAAUAUCAGAGGGAGGCCCGCACACACUGCCCGUUCAACUGCAGGUGAUGAGUUGUGAGUAGAGGAGAAAUUCCAAUCGAGCUCGGUAAUAGCUGGUUCUCUCCGAAAUAGCUCUCGGGCUAGCGUCGAUCGGUCUCAUCCGGGGGUAGAGCUCUGAAUGGGAGCGGGGGGUUCGCCUACCCCUCCCAACCAAACUCCGAAUACCGGAUGUGCGAGAUCGGCAGUUAGAACGUGGGGGCUAAGCUCCAUGUUCGAAAGGGAAACAGCCCAAGACCGCCAUCUAAGGUCCCUAAAUCUACACUCAGUGGGAAAGGUUGUGUUUCUUCUGAUACAGGCAGGAAGUUGGCUUAGAAGCAGCCAUCUUUCAAAGAGUGCGUAAUAGCUCACUGCUCUAUUCCCUCCUUGUGGGGGAUAGGAAGGGAUGCGCCGAAAAUGUAACGGGGCUUAAGUGUAGUACCGAAGAUGCGGUCCAGCUCCAAUUUCUAUUGUUAUUUAUUUACAAAAAACUUGUAACGAGUUUCGAGACCUAAUACAUGAUAGUAGAAAUUGGGGCUGGAGGUAGGAGAGCGUUCCCGUGGCGCUGAAGUCGUACUCGCGAGAGACGGUGGAGCCUCGGGAAGUGAAAAUGUUGGAAUGAGUAACCGCAAGUCCAGUGAGAUUCUGGGCCACCGGAAGCCUAAGGUUUCCUCUGCAAUGGAGAUCAACAGAGGGUUAGCCGGUCCUAAGGCAAACUUCGGACAACGGAGGUAGCCGAUGGUAAACGGGUUAAUAUUCCCGUGCUGGUAGUGGCUUGGUAAAUGUGGGGACGCAGGCUGGUAGGUUCCGUGUCUCCAUGGAUUGAGGCAUGUAUAUGUGUGUAGGCGGGCGUGUGAGGCAAAUCCCUCCGCCACUUCAACGUCGAGACAUGUACAGAUCUCCCUCUUUGAGGGAGAAAUGGAGCCGACCCAACCUGACGAGAAAAGCCGCUAUGCCCGAAUUUUUUCGGGAUCCACUACCAACCGUACCGUAAAACUGACACAGGUAGGCAGGUCGAGAAGACCAAGGUGAACGGGUUAAUCCUCGUUAAGGAACUCGGCAAGACAGCGACCGUAACUUUGGAAUAAGGUCUUCCGAAUCUCCUCCGGGAGGUCCGGACGCAGCGAAAGACCCCCUGCGACUGUUUAUUAAAAACACAGGUCCAUGCUAAAGCCACAAGGCUGACGUAUAUGGGCUGACUCCUGACCAGUGCUGGAACGUUAACGGCGGGGGUGAAAGCUCACUGCCCGAAGCGCCAGUGAACGUCGGCGAUAACUAUAAUCGUCCUAAGGUAGCGAAGUUCCUUGUCUGGUAAGUUCAGACCCGCUUGAAAGGAGUAACGACUGGGGGACUGUCUCAACGAGGAGCCCGGUGAAAUUGCAAUGACGGUAAAGAUGCCGUCUACCCGCGGCAGGACGGAAAGACCCCGUGGAGCUUUACUACAGCUUGGUAUUGUACGUUCGUUUGCUUUGUUCAGAAUAGGUGGGAGGCUAUGAACGCUCAGCUCCGGCUGAGCGGGAGCCACCUGUGAGAUACCACCCUUGGCUUGCGGACGUGCUAACUUGUGUCUAAUCCGCGCAAGGACAGUGCCUGGUGGGUAGUUUGAGUGGGGCGCUCGCCUCCCAAAAAGUAACGGAGGCGCUUAAAGGUUGGCUAUCCCGAUAUGGAAAUUCGGGAGAUAGGGCAAAGCCACAAGCCAGCUUUACUGCAAGGGGGAUAACCCGCGCUGUAGCGCCUAGCUACACUUGUAACCGGAAGUUUACUCCGUAAACGUCCCGGUUACUCGAGUUGCGAGAGCAGAACUUAGUGAACCGAUCGUCCUUUAUAGAAAGACGUGAGAUCAGCAAACAAAAGUUACCCCGGGGAUAACAGGCUAGUCUGGCCCAAGCGUUCAUAGCGACGGCCAGGUUCGGCACCUCGAUGUCGGCUCGUCUCAUCCUGGGGCUGAAGGAGGUCCCAAGGGUUUGGCUGUUCGCCAAUUAAAGAGGCACGCGAGCUGGGUUAAGACCGUCGUGAGACAGGUCGGUCCCUAUCCGCCGUGGGCGCGUAAGUGCUUGAGGAAUGCCACUCCUAGUACGAGAGGACCGGAGCGGACGAACCUCUGGUGUAUCAGUUGUCGCACCAGCGGCAUUGCUGAGUAGCUACGUUCGGUUUGGAUAACCGCUGAAAGCAUCUAAGCGGGAAGCCAUAUCCAAGAUUAGGCACUAUAUGCGGUCCUGGAAGACGACCAGGUUGAUAGGUCACAGGUGUAAGCGCAGUAAUGCGUUGAGCCGAGUGAUACUAAUAC